rnacentral:rRNA from 1 species
UGGCUCAGAUUGAACGCUGGCGGCAGGCUUAACACAUGCAAGUCGAGCGGUAACAGGGGUAGCUUGCUACCCGCUGACGAGCGGCGGACGGGUGAGUAAUGCAUAGGAAACUGCCCAGUAGUGGGGGAUAGCCCGGGGAAACCCGGAUUAAUACCGCAUACGCCCUUCGGGGGAAAGCAGGGGAUCUUCGGACCUUGCGCUAUUGGAUGUGCCUAUGUCGGAUUAGCUGGUUGGUGAGGUAAUGGCUCACCAAGGCGACGAUCCGUAGCUGGUCUGAGAGGAUGAUCA